GUUUAUUAAGUUCUUCCUGAAGAAUAUUCUACUUUGAUGCCUUAAUUGUUACAACACUUAACUAAAACAUAAAGAAGAGAAUAACAAGAAGAGAACAUUGAUGCAUUCAGUAUGUUUGAUGAAAUGCCCCAAUGAAAGGAGUAUAACGCGUUCCAGCAAGUUUAUAAACAUCUUCUAUGCAAUCAAUCUAUAGCAUUGGACAUUGAUCCUAGGAACUCCCUUACUUGAUUUUGUGACUUUUGCUUAAUGAAAUUUUUGGAUUCUCAGUCGGUACAAGUUCGCUCAAUAGGGAGAAUGAAAUGAAUCGGUUUAACUUUUUGGGAUGCCUUCAUUAUUUAGCUAUCCAGGAACCCCCAACAACUCCCUAUGCUAUGGUUUUUUGAAUGCAGAAGAUUAGCUACUAAGAAGCGAACUCCGACGUCCUUUACAUAUGAUAAACAAUGACAUAGUAAUCUAAUAUGUCAAAAUUGAACCAUCUGUUAUAUUAUUUGGGUGUAUUACAUUAGUUAGUAUUUGCUGAUCGUUCAAAUCAACACCAUACUGAUGUUUGUUGUACAUAUUCUGAAUAUUUCUAAUAGUAUAUGAUAUUAACCAUCUUCUGCAGAA